GACGAACGCUGGCGGCGUGCUUAACACAUGCAAGUCGAACGGAAAGGCCCUGCUUUUGUGGGGUGCUCGAGUGGCGAACGGGUGAGUAACACGUGAGUAACCUGCCCUUGACUUUGGGAUAACUUCAGGAAACUGGGGCUAAUACCGGAUAGGAGCUCCUGCUGCAUGUUGGGGGUUGGAAAGUUUCGGCGGUUGGGGAUGGACUCGCGGCUUAUCAGCUUGUUGGUGGGGUAGUGGCUUACCAAGGCUUUGACGGGUAGCCGGCCUGAGAGGGUGACCGGCCACAUUGGGACUGAGAUACGGACCAGACUCCUACGGGAGGCAGCAGUGGGGAAUAUUGCAGAAUGGGCGGAAGCCUGAUGCAGAAACGCCGCGUGCGGGAUGACGGCCUUCGGGUUGUAAACCGAUUUCGCCUGUGGCGAAGCGUGAGUGACGGUAAUGGGUAAAGAAGCACCGGCUAACUACGUG
rnacentral:rRNA from 1 species